rnacentral:rRNA from 1 species
CGCAUCUGUGCAUGCAGCAUAUCAAUAAGCGGAGGAAAAGAAACUAACAAGGAUUCCCUUAGUAACGGCGAGUGAAGCGGGAAGAGCUCAAAUUUGAAAUCUUCAAGGUUUUACCUUGACGAAUUGUAGUUUAAAGAAGUGUUUUCUGUUGAAGUUUUGGUAAAAGUUCUUUGGAAUAGGACAUCAUAGAGGGUGAGAAUCCCGUAUUUGACCAUUAUUUUCAGCUGUGUGAUACACUUUCAAAGAGUCGGAUUGUUUGGGAAUGCAGUCCAAAAUGGGUGGUAAAUUUCAUCUAAAGCUAAAUAUUGGCGAGAGACCGAUAGGCGAACAAGUACCGUGAGGGAAAGAUGAAAAGAACUUUGAAAAGAGAGUUAAACAGUACGUGAAAUUGUCAAAAGGGAAGCGUUUGACACCAGUGUUGUUUUCUCGAAAAUCAAUUAAAAAGAGUUAGAUUUUGUUGUGUAUUAGACCUUAACAGCUUGCAUUUCAAUUUUCUUGCUUUUUUUAAUGCACUUUUCGUUUAACAAGUCAACAUCAGUUUCUUUUGUUGUAAAAAGGUCAUUGGAAGGUGGCUUUCUUUUCGGAGAAAGUGUUUAUAGCCUUUGACUCCUGCAAUCGGAGAGACUGAGGUCUGCAGCGUAGAUCCUUCGGGGUUAGAUACAUUUGUGCUAAGUUAUAGCUUUUUAUAGACAACUUGUUGACUAUGAUUAGUCUUGUAGCUUACUCGCUUAUGCUAUUUUACCUACGCUUAGGAUGUUGACACACGCGCGUGCUCG